rnacentral:rRNA from 1 species
GAUGAACGCUGACAGAAUGCUUAACACAUGCAAGUCAACUUGAAUUUGGGUUUUUACCUUAGGUUUGGGUGGCGGACGGGUGAGUAACGCGUAAAGAACUUGCCUCACAGCUAGGGACAACAUUUGUAAACGAAUGCUAAUACCUAAUAUUAUGAUAAUAGGGCAUCCUAUAAUUAUGAAAGCUAUAAGCGCUGUGAGAGAGCUUUGCGUCCCAUUAGCUAGUUGGAGAGGUAACGGCUCACCAAGGCGAUGAUGGGUAGCCGGCCUGAGAGGGUGAUCGGCCACAAGGGGACUGAGACACGGCCAUUACUCCUACGGGAGGCAGCAGUGGGGAAUAUUGGACAAUGGACCGAGAGUCUGAUCCAGCAAUUCUGUGUGCACGAUGAAGUUUUUCGGAAUGUAAAGUGCUUUCAGUUGGGAAGAAGCAAAUGACGGUACCAACAGAAGAAGUGACGGCUAAAUACGUG